rnacentral:rRNA from 1 species
AACGUAGGUGGCAAGCGUUAUCCGGAAUUACUGGGCGUAAAGGGUGUGCAGGCGGGGAAGCAAGUGGUGUAUGAAAUCUCCCAGCUUAACUGGGAUAGGUUAUGCCAGACUGCUUUUCUAGAGGACGAGAGAGGGGGGUGGAAUUCCGGGUGUAGUGGUGAAAUGCGUAGAGAUCGGAAAGAACACCAACGGCGAAAGCACUCUGCUGGGCCGACACUGACACUGAGAGACGAAAGCUAGGGAAGCGAAUGGG